UGCUGCCAGAAGCUAGUACCAACGGUAGGACACAAAUGAAGGAGACGCAUCUGUGAAGAACUUUAAAAGACUGCAAAGCCUAAACAUUUCUGGUUAGAAGGCGCACACGUUUUUCACGGUGUUUGCUGACAAAAGGAAAAGAAUAAAUAUUGGUCAAACAUCA